rnacentral:rRNA from 1 species
UACAGAGGUCCCGAGCGUUGUUCGGAUUCACUGGGCGUAGAGGGCGCGUAGGCGGAUGUUUAAGUCAGUGGUGAAAGCCCAGGGCUCAACCUUGGAACUGCCAUUGAUACUGGACAUCUUGAGUGCGGGAGAGGUGAGUGGAACGCCGAGUGUAGAGGUGAAAUUCGUAGAUAUUCGGCAGAACACCAGUGGCGAAGGCGACUCACUGGCCCGUAACUGACGCUGAUGCGCGAAAGCGUGGGGAGCAAACAGG